AUUGAACGCUGGCGGCAGGCUUAACACAUGCAAGUCGAGCGGGGUGAUGGUGCUUGCACUAUCACUUAGCGGCGGACGGGUGAGUAAUGCUUAGGAAUCUGCCUAUUAGUGGGGGACAACAUCUCGAAAGGGAUGCUAAUACCGCAUACGUCCUACGGGAGAAAGCAGGGGAUCACUUGUGACCUUGCGCUAAUAGAUGAGCCUAAGUCGGAUUAGCUAGUUGGUGGGGUAAAGGCCUACCAAGGCGACGAUCUGUAGCGGGUCUGAGAGGAUGAUCCGCCCAACUGGGACUGAGACACGGCCCAGACUCCUACGGGAGGCAGCAGUGGGGAAUAUUGGACAAUGGGGGGAACCCUGAUCCAGCCAUGCCGCGUGUGUGAAGAAGGCCUUAUGGUUGUAAGGCACCUUAAGCGAGGAGGAGGCUCUUUUGGUUAAUACCCAAGAUGAGUGGACGUUACUCGCAGAAUAAGCACCGGCUAACUCUGUGCCAGCCGCCGCCGUAA
rnacentral:rRNA from 1 species